UACGUAGGAGACUAGCGUUGUCCGGAAUACUGGGUGUAAAGCGCGUGUAGGCGGCAUACCAAGUCUGUUGUGAAAUCGCCCGGCUCAACUGGGCGGGGUCAAUGGAAACUGGUAAGCUGGAGGACGGUAGAGGCGAGUGGAAUUCCCGGUGUAGUGGUGAAAUGCGUAGAGAUCGGGAGGAACACCUGUGGCGAAGGCGGCUCGCUGGGCCGAUCCUGACGCUGAGACGCCGAAGGCGUGGGGAGGCGAACGGG
rnacentral:rRNA from 1 species